ACCUGGCUAGCUCAGCUGGUAGCAUAUGGGACUCUUGAGCUCAGGACUGUGGGUUUGAGUCCCACACUGGGCA